UAGUGUAGGCUUAGGAAACGUGACAUGCCAAUGUCUCGUGUAACCUGAAGCAGGAGAAGGUAUCCUAGGCAGGAUGGGGGAAGCCACCUCCCAGGUGGGACAUCUGACAGGCUUUCUUAUGGCUCCCAAAUGAAUAGGAACAAGGGAGAAAGAAGAAAAGACCCAGUCCCCAGGGGCCCACUGGACUGCUGUUGAUGCAGAGAACACUGCAGGACAGGGAGUGCUGGAGUAGCCCUUGUGGGCAGACAUGGAGGAAGGAUGAGAAGACAAGCCAAAGACCAGAGUGGCAACUCCUCAAACCCCAGGUCCCCCAGAGCCUGGAGGGUGCAGAGAAAGGGAAAGGCCAACACAGGAAAGUGGAUGGGGAUCGGUAGGGAGUCUGAGAUGUGCCAUUGAUUUGUCCUGCAUUCUGGAUGGGACAAGCUUGGGAACUGGAGCCAAAAGAUCCCGGUCAAGUCAACUCAGGCUGGGUGGCCAAAGCCAUCCUGGAGAGGCUCAGUUUACACACAACCUCUGACCCCAGUGUCGCUGUCCCAGUUUUCUACCAGGCCAUCUGCGCAGAGGGCUGGAUGGGCCCCCAGUCAUCCAGAUUAAGGGCUUCCGCUUGGGUUUGGUGGAUGGAAAGCCCUGGUAGGGCUGGAAGGCAGGGAGAGCCUGGUACUUACUCCCACAGCUCCCUUCCCUCCAGUCUGGGAUUGUGAGCUGCUGUGCUGUCUUCUGAAGGCCUUGGUUGCUGUUCCCAGCCCUUCCCUUUCUGAGGAAGCAGCAGCUCCCUUCUUUCACUCUUGUGAGCCUAAGGGUAGUGCCAGCUUCCUGCUGUUGCACCUCUGGAUGCCUCCCUGUCCCUCACUGUUUCCUUACUUCUGCUGCCAACUUCAUCAAUAACACCUUCAUUAACCUUUCCCCAUUAACCUCUUCCAGUGGGUCAUCUCUUUCUCCCCUGCUCCCUACCUGCAGCUCCCGCAAUGGUAGCAUCUCCUUUGGAAAAUAUUAUGGGCAAUAAACCAAGCAAAGUGAUGCAUGAGCAGGCGUCUUGGCUCAUCACAGCAUCCCGAAGGGGUCCAGUUCUGGUGUUCACUGAUGAGCAGAUGCAUAAGCAGCUGCAGAUACACAUGAGUAGAGUGUUUCUCAGCCAUGAAGAGGAGAGACGCACUACUGCAUGCUACAAUGACUCCUAGGAAGUUGCAAGAACAGCAGAGAGAGCUGUCUCACGGAUCCUUCAGCUAGUGUCCCCCGGUGGUGACUUGCUUUCUAGCCAUGGCACAGUAUUCAAACCAGAAAACUGACACUGGUGAAGUACUGUUAACUAGACACUGACCUUGUUUGCUUUUUCACCGGUUUUUACGUGCGGUCCUGUGUGUGCUGUGUUUGUGUGUGUAGUUCAGUGCAAUUUGAUCUCUUGUGUGGAUUCACAUAACUGCCACCAAAGAAGCCACAGAGCAAUUUGUUCAGCACAAAGAAACUCCCUUGUGCUACCCUUGAUAGGCUGAUCUCCCCACCCUUGUUCCUGUCCCCUGGC